GCGGCGGACGGGUGAGUAACACGUGGGCAACCUGCCUGUAAGAACUGGGAUAACUUCGGGAAACCGGAGCUAAUACCGGAUAAUGCAUUUCCUCUCAUGAGGAUAUGCUGAAAGAUGGUUUCGGCUAUCACUUACAGAUGGGCCCGCGGCGCAUUAGCUAGUUGGUGAGGUAACGGCUCACCAAGGCAACGAUGCGUAGCCGACCUGAGAGGGUGAUCGGCCACACUGGGACUGAGACACGGCCCAGACUCCUACGGGAGGCAGCAGUAGGGAAUCUUCCGCAAUGGACGAAAGUCUGACGGAGCAACGCCGCGUGAGUGAUGAAGGUUUUCGGAUCGUAAAACUCUGUUGUCAGGGAAGAACAAGUGCCGGAGUAACUGCCGGCACCUUGACGGUACCUGACCAGAAAGCCACGGCUAACUACGUGCCAGCAGCCGCGGUAAUACGUAGGUGGCAAGCGUUGUCCGGAAUUAUUGGGCGUAAAGCGCGCGCAGGCGGUCUCUUAAGUCUGAUGUGAAAGCCCACGGCUCAACCGUGGAGGGUCAUUGGAAA
rnacentral:rRNA from 1 species